rfam:Candidatus Melainabacteria bacterium GWA2_34_9 gwa2_scaffold_1875, whole genome shotgun sequence.
GGAGAGGUGCCAGAGUUCGGUCGAUUGGCGUCGCCUCGAAAGCGAAUGGGCCGCAAGGCCACAAGGGUUCGAAUCCCUUCCUCUCCU